GCUGCUGGCGUCCGCGCCCUCAACGCCCCAGCCUUCCAAGUUGAGGCGAAAGCCACCUCUUCGGGCCUGCGUCGCAUCCAACUUACUCUAAGUUUUCUGGUGACUCCUACGGGGCCCCUUUCCGUACCCUCCGGCACCCCCCCUCCCUUAGUGAGAUUGACAGUCGCGUGGAGGAGGCUUUUCCAGGCACAGCCUUUCUCAUGGUAAUCAGCCCCCAGCAUCACCUCCCGGCCGCGGCUGCGCCCGCUCGGAGCGCGGCUCGCGGACCCCGGGGACCGGAAACAGGGCGGCGGGCGGGGAGCAGGCGAGCGAGCCAGGCUCAACUCCGAAUGGAUUGGAUUGCGAGUCUGCACGUGAGAAAACCGUUUGGCUUGGCUUGGACCCCUGCCGCCCCCCACCCCCUCCACACACACCCAAUCCAGGGGUCCCCUUUAUCACCCUUUGCUUGCAACUCCAAAAGAAGUUGCCCACCUCCUGAGU